AUUGCAUCUCAGCCUUUUGGCUAAAAUCAAGUGUAGUACCUAUUCUAAUCAGUUUAAAAUCUGAUGUGUCCUCUACCUGAGGACAAUAUGUUAAAUGGAUUUUUGGAGCAGGCAGUUGGAAUAGGAGCUGGCUUCAUCCGAUCCAUGCAUCGACCUGGUAUUGCAGUACUUCUAGAAAUGGUGCACCUGCC